rnacentral:rRNA from 1 species
UACGUAGGUGGCAAGCGUUGUCCGGAUUUACUGGGCGUAAAGAGCGCGCAGGCGGUCCUUUAAGUCUGAUGUGAAAGCCCACGGCUCAACCGUGGAGGGUCAUUGGAAACUGGGGGACUUGAGUGCAGAAGAGGAAAGCGGAAUUCCACGUGUAGCGGUGAAAUGCGUAGAGAUGUGGAGGAACACCAGUGGCGAAGGCGGCUUUCUGGUCUGUAACUGACGCUGAGGCGCGAAAGCGUGGGGAGCAAACAGG